rnacentral:lncRNA from 1 species
GCUGUAGAAAAUUUUAAUUUGGUACCCAUCUUAUGCCACAAAGUCCUCCAAAAAUGGCUAGUGAAGCGAACGUCCCUAUCGGACACGAUGGUCUUGGGAAGUCCAUAUAGUUUGACAAUCUCAUUAAAGAAUAACAUGGCAACCUUGGACGCAUUCGAUGUUUUGCUACAGGGGAUAAAGUGAGCCAUUUUCGAGAAACGAUCGACAACCACGAAAAUAGAAUCAUGCUUCUUUGGGGUGCGUGGCAGUCCUAGCACAAAAUCCAUACUAACGUCUUGCCAAGGACAAUUGGGGACGGGGAGAGGAGUGUAUAGGCCUGUGUUCUGCUUCUUCUGUUUGGCCAAUUGACAAGUAUUACAUGUACUAACAAUUUUAGCCACAUCUCUCUUUAAACUAGGCCAAUAGAAUUGGCGUUCAACCUCCUCAAUGGUCUUUUCACGCCCAAAGUGACCGGCUAACCCUCCCGCGUGAACUUCCCACACUAUAAAAUCUCGCACUGAAAUUCGAGGGAUGCACAAUUUAUUGGCUCGAAAGAGAUAACCCUUCUCAAGUCGAAAGC